rnacentral:lncRNA from 1 species
GCCGCGCGCUCCGCCCGCCGCUGCGUCCCCACUAUGGCGGCGCCCAUGCAGCCCAUCGCGUCGUGGGCGCCCGCCGGGGUCCCCCGCGGCUGUCGCCGCUCCCUGCGCCGCCGCCUCCGCCUUCCCGCCCCGCGUCGGGCCGGGCGCCACCUACGCCCUGUCUCCCUCUCUGCUGUGGUCAUGUAGGAAAUCGUAAAUCAUGUGAAGAUGGGACUCUUGGUAUUUGUGCGCAAUCUGCUGCUAGCCCUUUGCCUCUUUCUGGUACUGGGAUUUUUGUAUUAUUCUGCGUGGAAGCUACACCUACUCCAGUGGGAGGAGGACUCCAAUUCAGCAGUUCUUUCCUUUGACUCCGCUGGACAAACACUAGGCUCAGGUACCAACUCUUCCCCCUCUAUCAUCUUUUUAGCCCUCAAUAUUAGCCAUAUUUUUGUGAAGCCUAAUCAAGUAUCGGUUUGCUGGGGAGGGCAAUGGAAUAUCCCAGAGUUGGGGGGAUGCCCCAAGAAGACUUUGUAG